AACAUAAUACAGCCACAUUAGAUACUUCAGAAUCCUUGAUCUAGUUGUGUUUACCCAAAAUAAUCGUCAAUAUUUCUACUUCCUUCAAUUCUACGACGGUAUUUCACAAAGGAUCUUUGCGCAAACCCAAUACUGCGCAACAAACGGCAAAUGAUUAUCAGUAUUCAUUAACAGAGACGUGGACGUCCUAAUCGCACUUCACUGUGCAACACAGAGUGGUUUGAACAAAUUCAGGUUGUGGGAGUCGAACUACACUGCAUCUAAUCCCUGCCCAAAUACAAAUAAUGGAAAAGCAGUGAAAAUUUUAGCAGUAGGCAGCGGCUUGGCUCUGCCCCUAGCAUUGCUGAGGUCCAUGGGCGACGGUAACCACUCACCAUCAGGUGGGCCGUAUGCCCACAGGGGCAAUAAAAAAAAAAAGAACAUAAGGUAGGCUAAUUUCACCAACACAUCUAAAUUUAUCAGUAGUUCAUAUCGGGGUGAAAGGCUAUUUGAUUUGAGCGACAUUUUUGCAGCUUUAUAGCAGAGCCAUUUAAAGUUUAAAAUUUGAAAAAAAAAACAUAAUAAAAAAAAAACUUCUUUAGCUUAAUUAAAGUUCAAUUAAAAAAUUAUACUGACAUCAAAUAAAAUGCACCUUUAAUUACAAAGAUAAAUAUCGAAUAUUAUCUCUUAAACCAAAUAAUAACCUUUCACCCCUCGUUAUUAUGAUAUUUUUGACAAUCCCUUGUACAACAAUUCACAGAAAACUUUAAUAAUAUUUAAUCUGUACUAGCAUAGUAGCAACCUUUUGUCUUUAAAACUUAGUACUCUGCUGAAUUAUGAAAGGAAGGAAACUGUAGAACUCCGUAAUCAAAGCUUCAAAGAAAGAAAAAUGUUGUGAUAUUGUCAACUUCAUUUAUGUUAGAUUUGCAUUAUUCUGACAUUAAUAAUAAAAGUUGCUAUUAUGUGCAGAUCAAUCCCUAUAUUCUAUACUACAUACCACCUGAUUAAUAAGUUAAGGUGAGAUUUAAACUUGUUAUCACUAAACUAAAAAUGACUAAUAAGGAUUUGUGACUCUAUAAUCAUCGAACCAUUUAACUACUUAUUGAGUUUGAAAACACCAAACAAUAAAUUUUUCCAAAUUAUUCUAGCCUUAUAGGUUGGUAAACAAAAUAUAGUUACAAAAUGGGACAGCAGUGACACAAUAAAGUGUGAGAAUAAAAACCUAUAUUUAUUUAUUAUUUAAACUAUAUUUUCUUAAUUUAUGGUAUGUACUUACGAAUAUUUCACUUGUUAUUGAACUUCCAGUCUUGUCUGCACAUAGGACACUGCUGUUGAGGCUGAGAGUGUAGCCACUUUACGAUACAGUGAAUGUGGAAACAGUGAGAGCAAGCACCCCAAACUAGAGGGCAGUCGUCCCCAGGUAGUUUGCAGUCUGGACAGCAGCUAUCAAAUGGCAUACGACAAAUCCCACAAUUGUCGUCGUUUGCUACCCACCUCCAAGUUGCAACCCCUGUCCAACCUAAAAUGAAUUAUCUCGUUACUGUGAAUAUUUCAAUUUCAAUCGGUUCUUCCUUGUAUGAGGAAUUUUUAAGAAUUGUGCUCUAUGACAAUAAGGCACUUAGCAAAAAUUACUACUUAAUUUACUUUAAUGUCAGUGUGUUUUAAGUUGCAAAGAAUAAAGUGUAAAUUAACCAGGGAAAAUAAACAUUAUGAAAAAAAGAGA